CCCCUAGUAAUGGCGAAUGAAGAGGGAAAAGCCCAAUUUUGUAAUCUGGCCCUUUUAGGGUCCGAGUUGUAAAGUGAAGAGGUGCUUUCUUGUGCUGGACCAUAUAUAAGUCUGUUGGAAUACAGCAUCAUUGAAGGUGAGAAUCCUGUCUAAUGAUAUGGACUACCAGUGCUUUUAUGAAGCAGUCUCUAAGAGUCGAGUUGUUUGGGAAUGCAGCUCAAAAUGGGUGGUAAAUUCCAUCUAAGGCUAAAUAUUGGUGAGAGACCGAUAGCAAACAAGUACCGUGAGGGAAAGAUGAAAAGAACUUUGGAAAGAGAGUUAACAGUAUGUGAAAUUGUUAAAAGGGAAACACUUGAAGUUAGACUUGAUAAUGUCAGUUCAGCCUUUUAUUAGGGUGUAUUCUGUGCAUUAUCAGACCAACAUCAAUUUUGGGUGUUAGAUAAGGGUUUGGGAAAUGUAGCAACUUUGGUUGUGUUAUAGUCCUGAAUUUCAUAUAUAAUGCCCAAGAUUGAGGAGAUUCACAGUAAGCUGGAAAGAGAUUUUCAGUAGGUCACCAAAAUGGUUGACACUCUUACUAU
rnacentral:rRNA from 1 species